rnacentral:rRNA from 1 species
UGAGGAAUUUUGCGCAAUGGGAGCAAUCCUGACGCAGCAACGCCGCGUGGGUGAUGAAGGCCUUCGGGUCGUAAAGCCCUGUCAGGUGGGAAGAAUGUCCCGGAACUGAACAGGUUUCGGGAGUGACGGUACCACCAGAGGAAGCACCGGCUAACUCCGUGCCAGCAGCCGCGGUAAUACGGAGGGUGCAAGCGUUAUUCGGAAUUACUGGGCGUAAAGCGCGUGUAGGCGGUCCUGCAAGUCUGAUGCGAAAGCCCCGGGCUUAACCCGGGAAGUGCAUUGGAAACUGUGGGACUUGAGUACUGGAGAGGAAGGGGGAAUUCCCGGUGUAGAGGUGAAAUUCGUAGAGAUCGGGAGGAAUAUCAGUGGCGAAGGCGCCCAUCUGGACGGUAACUGACGCUGAGACGCGAAAGCGUGGGGAGCAAACA